rnacentral:sRNA from 1 species
AUGUACCACUCGUACACUCCGGUUCUGAGCGCGCCGUCCGCACCCGCCUGACGACUGCUCGCUACGUUUUGUUAGCC